rnacentral:rRNA from 1 species
GCUCCGUCAGGCUUUCGCCCUUCCGAUCUGGCGAAAGCCUGACGGAGCGACACUGCGUGAUGGAUGAAGUGCUUCGGUACGUAAACAUCUUUUAUCAGGGACGAAGUUUAUUGACGGUACCUGAUGAAUAAGGGGCUGCUAACUCUGUGCCAGCAGCAGCGGUAAUACAGAGGCCCCAAGCGUUACCCGGAAUCACUGGGCGUAAAGGGUGUCCAGGCGGCCAUGUUAGUCGUUUGUAAAAUCCACAGGCUUAACCUGUGGCUCGCAAGCGAAACGGCAUGGCUCGAGGGCGCGAGAGGUAGAGGGAACUCACGGUGGAGGGGUGAAAUCCGUUGAUAUCGUGGGGAACACCAAUGGCGAAGGCACUCUACUGGCGCGUUCCUGACGCUCACACACGAAAGCUGGAGGAGAGAACGGGAUUAGAUACCCCGGUAUUUCCAGCCCUCAACGUUGCUCGCUCGCUCUACGGAGUAUCGACCCUCUGUGGGGCUAAGCUAACGCGGUAAGCGAGCCGCCUGGGUAGUACGAGCGCAAGCUUAAAACUCAAAGGAAUAGACGGGGACUCGCACAAGCGGUGGAUUAUGUGGCUUAAUUCGACGACAAACGAAGAACCUUACCAAGGUUAGAAAUGGAGCUGCAUCCUUUCCGAAAGGAGAGGAGCCUUCGAGGGUGCUCCACAGGUGAUGCAUGGUCGUCGUCAGUUCGUGGUUUGAACUGUUCCCUUCAGUGGGGUAACGAACGCAACCCCCGUUGCCUGUUAUCUUCGGAUCAGGCGAGACUGCUCCCUUACGGGAGAGGAAGGUGGGGAUGACGCCAGAUCAGCAUGUCCCUCUGAUACC